ACAUUUUAUCCCUGUUUUAACCAGAUAAUAUGAAAAUUGUUUGAAAUAUCAAAAAAUGACUUCCUUAAGUUAUUGAGAUAAAAUUUCCUUUCAGAAAAUAAGCUACACUUGAUACAUCUGAGUAAGAUUUCUGUUAAAAAAGUUUGCACAGCAAAUCAAGAGGAAUUUUCCAAAAUUAAAAUAGUUCAAGGGAGCGAUGGUUUGGGUCUCUAGGUACACACAAAAUGUAAACAAUUUUGUUCGAAACCCGUAUUUAAACUCUUAACCCUUGGGAUCAUUAUAGGCAUGUUUAAACAUUAGAUUACAACACAUAUUCUGUAAGAGAUAAAUUAUAGUUAUUUAACAUAACACAUAAUAUCAGAACUUCAAAAAGCUAUAAUUUCGAAAAAGUUCGCUUAAUUCGGACUCCACCAUCGUUCUUAAAUUAGUAAUAUACACAUGUUUAAAAAACAAAAAAAAUUGAAAAAUUAGAUUUGUUCUAGAUAAUUUUUUACUCGACGAUUUGGACGCAUGUAGAAAUCCAGAAAAUAAUCGUACACAACGUAAGGUUCUAGACUGUAAAUACUCUGACCGUAUUUUCACAAACUGUAUAAUUCCAGACUGUAUUUCGGUAGAAAAAUAAAUACGUAGACCCUAUAGUCCCCAACCGUAUUAUUACGGACAUUUUUUUUUUGUAAACCGAAUUGUUCCAAUCUGUAUAAUUUCAAAAUUUGCACAUUUCCAUACCUUAUUUUUACCGACCAUAAAAAUCCAAAACCGACCAAAAAAAGUUUUUUUUUCACUGAACUGUAAAUGGAUGCACGAGUUCAUUUAAACUCAUUCAUCCCAAGAUCUUAUAAUAAUUACCUAUGUGGAUACCUACAUAAACAAUUGGUACACAAGACAUUUUUGUUUGUUUUUUUUUAUUGCAGAAAGCAAACAUCAUAUACUGUAUGUGCUAAUUAUAAUCUUGAAUAAGGUUAAGUUAGGUAGGUUAGGUCUUGGGUAUACUUACAAAUUUAUAGUUUUCAAGUACUAGGUGUAAUUUUUUUUUACUUCGAUAUUCCUUUAAGAUCAAUAAAUCUAAAAAUAUAUUUAUUACUAGUUGAGUUGCUAGUGUACCUAGUACAUUUAUUAAUAUGUAGGUACAUAUGAAAAAAUAAUACGGUCUUGUG